AGAGUUUGAUCCUGGCUCAGAGUGAACGCUGGCGGUAGGCCUAACACAUGCAAGUCGAACGGCAGCACAGGAGAGCUUGCUCUCUGGGUGGCGAGUGGCGGACGGGUGAGGAAUACAUCGGAAUCUACCUUUUCGUGGGGGAUAACGUAGGGAAACUUACGCUAAUACCGCAUACGACCUUCGGGUGAAAGCAGGGGACCUUCGGGCCUUGCGCGGAUAGAUGAGCCGAUGUCGGAUUAGCUAGUUGGCGGGGUAAAGGCCCACCAAGGCGACGAUCCGUAGCUGGUCUGAGAGGAUGAUCAGCCACACUGGAACCGAGACACGGUCCAGACUCCUACGGGAGGCAGCAGUGGGGAAUAUUGGACAAUGGGCGCAAGCCUGAUCCAGUCAUACCGCGUGGGUGAAGAAGGCCUUCGGGUUGUAAAGCCCUUUUGUUGGGAAAGAAAAGCAGCCGGUUAAUACCCGGUUGUUCUGACGGUACCCAAAGAAUAAGCACCGGCUAACUUCGUGCCAGCAGCCGCGGUAAUACGAAGGGUGCAAGCGUUACUCGGAAUUACUGGGCGUAAAGCGUGCGUAGGUGGUUGUUUAAGUCUGUUGUGAAAGCCCUGGGCUCAACCUGGGAAUUGCAGUGGAUACUGGGCGACUAGAGUGUGGUAGAGGGUAGUGGAAUUCCUGGUGUAGCAGUGAAAUGCGUAGAGAUCAGGAGGAACAUCCAUGGCGAAGCAGCUACCUGGACCAACACUGACACUGAGGCACGAAAGCGUGGGGAGCAAACAGGAUUAGAUACCCUGGUAGUCCACGCCCUAACGAUGCGAACUGGAUGUUGGGUGCAAUUUGGCACGCAGUAUCGAAGCUAACGCGUUAAGUU
rnacentral:rRNA from 1 species